rnacentral:lncRNA from 1 species
UGAACAGAUGACAGAUGUAACCAAAAAUCAAAACUAAAAUCACUUCUGAAGUCGAGGAUGCACUUCUCGAUGGUGUGAACUUUAAAAGGUCAAAAAGUAAAUAUGUCCUUAUUUGGAAAAUAAGACAUGUUUCUUGUGAGGAAUAUUGGCCGAUCCAACAGCCAGAAAUCUCAGCAACUGGUAAAAAUGUGUGUUUCGUGGGGCAUCUGGUCUCUCGUCGUUGUCUGGGUGAAGGAGUCUGUCCCCAACCUGUCGUGGGUAGACUCGUGGGCUGGGGUGGGACCCCUUUUUGCUCUCAG